rnacentral:lncRNA from 1 species
AUCAUUCUUGGAGGAUCUGUUAUAAUCAAUUCUUUGAUGGUAAGUCUGAUCGAUGUCCGUCACCUAAGGAGUUAAGUAGAUCAAAAAUUUUAGAACAACUUGAAGUCAUUGAAAAUAUCUGAUUUAAAAAAAUAUUGGAUACUCACAAGUGGAAGCAUACUGAAGCUGAACUGAAUUGGAUGAAGCGAAGCAUCUUUUUCGAACUACCAUAUUGGA